rnacentral:rRNA from 1 species
ACUCAAAUGAAUUGACGGGGACCCGCACAAGCGGUGGAGGAUGUGGUUUAAUUCGACGCAACGCGAAGAACCUUACCAAGGCUUGACAUCUACAGAAGUUGGUGGAAACACUGAUGUGCCCGAAAGGGAACUGUAAGACAGGUGGUGCAUGGCUGUCGUCAGCUCGUGUCGUGAGAUGUUGGGUUAAGUCCCGCAACGAGCGCAACCCUCGAUGUUAGUUGCCAUCAUUAAGUUGGGCACUCUAACGUGACUGCCGGUGAUAAGCCGGAGGAAGGUGAGGACGACGUCAAGUCAUCAUGCCCCUUACGUCUUGGGCUACACACGUCCUACAAUGGCAUAGACAAAGAGCUGCAAGGCCGCAAGGUCAAGCGAAUCUCAUAAACUAUGUCUCAGUUCGGAUUGUGGGCUGCAACUCGCCCACAUGAAGUCGGAAUCGCUAGUAACCGUAGAUCAGCAUGCUACGGUGAAUACGUUCCCGGGUCUUGUACACACCGCCCGU